AGAACCAUUUCUCCGCAUCUCUGUCAGCCAACCAAUUUGUUUCCCUACCGAUCACUCUCUACUCAAAUACUUCAGAAAUCAUAGCAUUUUAGUUAAAUUUGUGAAAAACUUUAUCAAAUUUAAGAAACCUAUUCUUGUUGGAGUUUGUUAUCCCUGCAGCUGUGUAAUUCCAAGAAAUGAUGUCCGUACAUGUUAGUAGUGCGUGCUUUUCUGUGUCCAUUCACAGGAGAGUUCACCGGAUAAGAGCUGUUGCUUCUGAGGACUUCGCUGCUUUGAAAUCAGCCGAAGAGAAGGUGAGUUUAGGCGCCUCUGGAUUGAAGGUCACAAAACUUGGGAUUGGAGCUUGGUCUUGGGGUGACACAAGCUAUUGGAAUAACUUUGAAUGGGACGAUAGAAAAAUGAAGGCUGCUAAGGCUGCCUUUGAUGUCAGUAUUGAUCGCGGUAUAACUUUCUUUGACACUGCUGAAGUUUAUGGCUCUCGGCUAUCAUUUGGUGCCAUAAAUUCAGAAACUCUACUUGGAAGAUUUAUCAAGGAAAGAAAAGAAAAGGAUCCAAACGUGCAUGUUGCUGUUGCAACCAAGUUUGCAGCUUUACCAUGGAGACUGGGCCGUCAGAGUGUCCUCAAUGCCCUUAAAGAUUCCCUCUGUCGCCUUGGACUAUCUUCAGUAGAUCUAUAUCAACUCCAUUGGCCUGGAGUAUGGGGAAAUGAAGGAUAUAUCAAUGGUCUUGGAGAUGCUGUUGAGCAGGGCCUUGUCAAGGCUGUCGGUGUUUCAAACUACAGUGAAAGGCGACUUCGCGAUGCAUAUGAGAAGCUCAAGACGAGAGGUAUUCCACUGGCUUCAAACCAAGUCAAUUACAGCCUCAUAUAUCGGGCACCGGAGGAUAAUGGUGUAAAGGCAACCUGUGAUGAACUCGGGAUCUCUUUGAUUGCAUAUUCACCUAUAGCUCAAGGUGUUCUUACGGGGAAGUAUACACCAGAAAAUCCACCAGCUGGUCCUCGCAGGCAGAUUUACACCCCUGAAUUUCUAACGAAGCUCCAACCUUUGCUUAACAGGCUUGGGGAAAUAGCAGAGGGCUACAGUAAAACUCCCACACAGGAGGAGUUGCCAAAAAACUUCUAGUCUGAUUAGACUGCCAAAAGCUUCUUGUAGGAAUCCCUUGUAAUUUGCGAGUGAUAAGAGUGCCUCGCAAACACAAGUAUUCUUCAAAGUAAUAAGGUUAUUCCACAAGUACACUGCAUAUCAAUAAGUUUAUCUCUGAAUCAGCAAGAAAAUCUAACCAACCAACCAAGAAACAAUUUCUACCUGAAGUCCACUUGUUGCGGACUUUAUGGAAGGUGGCCCUCAACUGGCUAAUAGCUCAGGAGAAUGUUGUGCCAAUACCAGGAGCAAAAACUGCAGAGCAAGCGGAGGAAUUUGCAGGUGCACUUGGCUGGAGACUUACUGUUGAUGAGAUAAAUGAGCUGCGUUCUUUGGCC